GACGAACCGUACGAACGUUAUUCGGAAUUACUGGGCUUAAAGGGUGCGUAGGCUGCGCGGCAAGUUGGGUGUGAAAUCCCUCGGCUCAACCGAGGAACUGCGCCCAAAACUACCGUGCUCGAGGGAGACAGAGGUGAGCGGAACUUAGGGUGGAGCGGUGAAAUGCGUUGAUAUCCUAAGGAACACCCGUGGCGAAAGCGGCUCACUGGGUCUCUUCUGACGCUGAGGCACGAAAGCUAGGGUAGCGAACGGG
rnacentral:rRNA from 1 species